CCUACGGGAGGCAGCAGUGGGGGAUAUUGCACAAUGGGGGGAACCCUGAUGCAGCGACGCCGCGUGGGUGAAGAAGCGCCUCGGCGCGUAAAGCCCUGUCAGCAGGGAAGAAAAUGACGGUACCUGAAGAAGAAGCCCCGGCUAACUACGUGCCAGCAGCCGCGGUAAUACGUAGGGGGCAAGCGUUAUCCGGAUUUACUGGGUGUAAAGGGGGCGCAGACGGCGAUGCAAGCCAGGAGUGAAAGCCCGGGGCUCAACCCCGGGACUGCUGUUGGAACUGCGUGGCUGGAGUGCAGGAGGGGCAGGCGGAAUUCCUGGUGUAGCGGUGAAAUGCGUAGAUAUCAGGAGGAACACCGGUGGCGAAGGCGAGCUGCUGGACUGCAACUGACGUUGAGGCCCGAAAGCGUGGGGAGCAAACAGGAUUAGAUACCCCAGUAGUC
rnacentral:rRNA from 1 species